GUCACUUAAUACCCAUAAGGCAUUGCAUUGGUUACUGUUAUUUGUCAACAAGAUACAACCUAAAGUCCCCUGGAAGAGACUCUCUGAGAGGGACGGCCUGAGGUAAUCUGUGUGGUGUGAUGCUGUUGAUCACAACUCUCUGACCACAGCUAUGUGAAAACAACUAGUUCUCCCAGCACAAAGAAGUCCAGUUCACCGCAGAAGUGACAGUUCUGUGAAGGUGUGGACAAGAAAAAUAAACCAUCAGCAAUCAAGAUGGCUUCCCCUCUUCCUAAGGAAACUACAUAUAUACACAGUGGAAUUUUCUUCAGCAGUAAAGAAGGAAGUGAGGACAUCUGAUGAAAAAUGGAUGGAAGUGGAGAACACAGUAUGUUAAGAGAAAUGAACUAGACAAGAAAGACAAGCACUUGUCCCCAUUUCAGAAGAAAUCUGAAUUGCAGCUGGAUGUGGUGGUGUGGACCUAUGAUCCCAGAACUAUGGAAGCUGAGGCAGAAGAAUCUCAAACGUCCAAGUUCAAGUUCUAAGCCAUCCAGAGCUACAGAGCAACAGCCUACAAGGCAGAAGACAAUCAAAACCUCAAAGGCACCACAGAACUCCUCCAUCACUGCUGGGAUUAACCUCUUUUAGGUGCAUUUUAAUGAUAAAUAAUGCAUGUUCGUCACUGCAUUGGCAUUAGUAUAUGAAGAAGCACAGCUCCCAUUCCAAGCUAUUUAGAAAUCUAACGAAGUUGUUGAACUGACUCUGAACUGGGAGUCCAAAGGUUUGGCACCGAUGCAAUGACUGUCCCUCGAUCAGCACAAUCCCAGACCCUGGCUAGGCCUUGAUUUUCUUACCUACUUAAAAACUGAUUUAAAUGAAAAGAUCAGACUACUUGAUAUUCAAGGUCCUUUAAAGAGUUCCAGGAGAUGGAGUGCAAAGACGGUAAGGACUAAUGGAUGAACCGGAGUGCCACACAAUGCUGUCUCCUGGCUUUGACCUGACCAUCAUAAUCAUGAGUGCAUAGCAGCUCCCUGCGCUGACAACACAAAAAAGAUAUGGGGUAUAACUCAAUUGUUGCGAAGAGUCAACAUGGCCAAGUUUAUAGAAGAGUUUAUGGAGGCUUGCUUACAGUUUCAGAGGGUGAGCUCAUGGCAGGUAGGUAGGUAUGUCCCUGGAGCAAUAGCUGAAAGUUCAUGUCUUGAGUUAAUGACCAUCAAGUAGAGAAAGAGGGAGAGUGCAAGUUGCUAUGUGAUAUAGGAAUUUGAGAAAUGGAACCUUCAAUCUCAAACCACGUAUGAUACAGAGCACAGUGACAAAGGAAUCUGGGAACUAGAGAGUAAACAGAUGCUAAAAGAUGAGUCCACUGUGUUGCAGGGAGGUAAGGGCUGAGACCUUUCCUCACCAUCAGAAGGACCAAAAGCUCAACUCUUAUAAUAAAAGGUAAGUCAACAAGUGCAAACAUUAUUAUUUAAUAAGCAUUUUACACGACAGGGGAGCCUGUUGUCAGUGCGAAAACACAGCUCUCACUUCAAAAGC
rnacentral:lncRNA from 1 species